AGCGAACGCUGGCGGCAGGCCUAACACAUGCAAGUCGAACGAACCUUUCGGGGUUAGUGGCGGACGGGUGAGUAACACGUGGGAACGUGCCUUUAGGUUCGGAAUAACUCAGGGAAACUUGUGCUAAUACCGAAUGUGCCCUUCGGGGGAAAGAUUCAUCGCCGUUAGAGCGGCCCGCGUCGGUUUAGCUAGUUGGUUGAGGUAAUGGCUCACCAAGGCGACGAUCAGUAGCUGGUCUGAGAGGAUGAUCAGCGACAUUGGGACUGAGACACGGCCCAAACUCCUACGGGAGGCAGCAGUGGGGGAUCUUGCGAAAUGGGCGAAAGCCUGACGCAGCCAUGCCGCGUGAAUGAUGAAGGUCUUAGGAUUGUGAAAUUCUUUCACCGGGGACGAUAAUGACGGUACCCGGAGAAGAAGCCCCGGCUAACUUCGUG
rnacentral:rRNA from 1 species